rnacentral:rRNA from 1 species
GACGUAGGGUGCGAGCGUUGUCCGGAUUUAUUGGGCGUAAAGAGCUCGUAGGCGGCUCGUCGCGUCGACCGUGAAAACCCGCGGCUUAACUGCGGGCCUGCGGUUGAUACGGGCGGGCUAGAGUUCGGUAGGGGAGACUGGAAUUCCUGGUGUAGCGGUGAAAUGCGCAGAUAUCAGGAGGAACACCGGUGGCGAAGGCGGGUCUCUGGGCCGAUACUGACGCUGAGGAGCGAAAGCGUGGGGAGCGAACAGG